UGUCCAGACUCCUACGGGAGGCAGCAGUGGGGGAUAUUGCACAAUGGGGGAAACCCUGAUGCAGCGACGCCGCGUGGGCGAAGAAGUAUUUCGGUCUGUAAAGCCCUAUCAGCAGGGAAGAAGAAAUGACGGUACCUGAGUAAGAAGCACCGGCUAAAUACGUGCCAGCAGCCGCGGUAAUACGUAUGGUGCAAGCGUUAUCCGGAUUUACUGGGUGUAAAGGGAGCGCAGGCGGCACGGCAAGCCUGAUGGGAAAGCCCGCGGCCCAACCGCGGGACUGCAUUGGGAACUACCGGGCUGGAGUGCCGGAGAGGUAGGCGGAAUUCCUAGUGUAGCAGUGAAAUGCGUAGAUAUCAGGAGGAACACCGGUGGCGAAGGCGGCCUGCUGGACCGCAACUGACGUUGGGGCCCGAAAGCGUGGGGAGCAAACAGGAUUAGAUACCCCUGUAUAU
rnacentral:rRNA from 1 species